UCCACAUGUUGACCAUCGUUACGUCUUCUAGCUUCUUCCCUUUGCUUUUCACUCUUUUUGCUUCUUUUGCUUUUCACUCUUUCUCCACUAAUUUCCGUUCGAUUGUUUUGCGUUUUGUGCUUUGGUGAGAUAUUUUAUUAGCCUAUGCUAUGUGUUCUGAUCAAGGACUGGAUUAGGUUUCUUAGUUAAGCAAAACUGGGCUCUUCCUUUUGCUUCCAAUACGUUCUUCCAACCCAGCCCCAAUUCUCUCUCGACAGUUUUCCAGGAAGCAAAACGUGAAUCCAUUCCCGGUUCUCCUGAUUCAAAGAAAUUUCUUUAAUUGGCUAAGAAUUGAAGCUGUUAUCUUUGCAUACAACUUCCUUGCUGUUGCUUUGGGGUGACGAUCUGAAGUGAAAGGCCUCAAAUUUACAACUAAUACAAAUAGCAAGUUUUAUUAUGACGGUUUUUCCAACAUCAUCAACUAUAUCAAUUAUGCACCAAGUCCCAAAAGGUCAUGUUGGGGUAUAUUGGAGAGGAUGCACUCUUCUGAAGACAAUUACAGAUCUAGGUUAUGUGCAUUGAGAAGUUGCUUGCAUAAGGCCUUAACUUUGCCUGCUUCUCAUUAUUUCAAAUUUCAGGUUUUCAUCUCCAGCUGCCUCUGGUCACCCAUUUUGAACCCAUUCAAGUGACCCUGCAGACUAAUCAGGUAAGAGAUAUUCCAUGUGGUACAAAAGGGUGUGUCAUGAUCAAUUUUGAGAAGAUUGAGAUGGUUGACAAAUUGGAUGAUGAAACCAUGGCAAUAGAACUUGGUCCACCUGAUUCUAAAGAGGCCCUAUAAGGAUGUUGAAAGAGCCCUAUUCCGAGCACAUGUCGAGGGUCAACUAAAGAAACUUGGUUGCAAUGCAAGUUGGAAACGCACAAAAGUUUGAUUGCGUCCAAUAGAAUUGCCAGAGAAGGUCAUCUCCAUUUCUUUCAAAAUCAGACUUCUUUUUGCACACAAAAACACUAGGAAAUGACAGUUAUGCCCUUUCGUUCCACCAGUCCGUCAUCGUGUGUGUUUUGCACAGUGAAUGACAGUUAUUCUAGAUCUUUCUUUGCUUUUUCACUUUCUUCUCUGGGAUACCUCGACUUCGUUGGUUUUUCGCCCUCCGUUUUUCUUCCGAUUUUUACCCAUUUUUUAUUCGAUUGAAAAUUGGUUUGGGCUGGUCUAAUCCAGCGUUUCCAGGAAACGGUGCCUUUGAAAAUUUGGGAUUCUCGAUUUCGAUUUUCCAAUCUCUCUGUGUUAAAGGUUUUUCUGGCUAAUGAAAUACCUUUGUCAUCUCUCUCCAGGAGGUUCCUGCUUAUUCUCGAACCUCGAGUGGUCAUAUGUAGAACCUACUUGGUUAUGCAUGCUCAAUCCAUUUUGUAUAUAAAAUGAUUAAGUCUAUGCAAUGUUUUUUUUUUUCUUUUUCAAAAAGGUAUUUCUUCAUGAUUGGGUAUUGCUGCUGACGACGACAAGAAGUUGCUGGUGGCGGAGUACAUGCAUCAUGAUACACUUGCCAAACAUCUCUUCAACUGGGAGAAUCAGACCUUUGAGUGAGCUAUGAGACUAAGAGUUGCUCUGAAAAUUGCCGAAGUAUUGGAUUACGGCAGUAUUGAAGGCCGCCCAUUGUACCAUGACUUAAAUUCAUAUAUGGUUCUCUUUGAUGAGGUGAUGUCUCCGAUUUCCUUUCCCAAAUUUGUUUAUUUAGUUUUUCAAUUUUUACAAGAAGUGAGAUAAUUUUGAUCACAUAUCAUUGUGGACCUUUUUUUGAUAAGUAGACAUUUUUUUGCUCUGUUAAGACUUUUUAUCUGACAACUACAUGGAUUUAUAUGAGAUCAAAGUGGUAAUUUCAUGGAUGGUGUUGCAAGAAUGGCAAUCCUCCGCCAUCGAGUUUUGGAUUGAUGAAAAACAGUAGGGAUGAAAAAAGUUACAGCACUAAUCUUGCACACACCUCCUGGAUAUCUAAGAAAUGAUGAGGCUGAAUCAAAGCGCAAGGCAAAACAUUGGCGUCAAUGGAAGAAAGAAACAAAAUCUGCAAAAGGGGCAACUGAAGUGAUGGAAAUUGGAGACAAAAUGAGAAAUUUGAUGCUUUUUAUCACAGUGGACAAGUCAUUACAAGCUAAUCAUACUGGUAAUAGAAAUUACUCUCUGCUUGGAUGCUUUUGAACAUGGAGAGAAAUUGAAUUUGUAUUUUAGAAUUAGCGUUCUUCUUGAUGUUCAACUGUUUGGAAAGGUUUUUUUUUCAAAUUGUAUUUCGAAUUAGUGUUCUUUUUUGGUUUCUACUAGUUAGUGUUCUUUUUUAUUUAGAACAAAAGGUCAGUAAUUUCCUUCCUGCAUUCCACAUGUAUGUAAAUAGUAUUGCCUAUUGUUAAUGAACAAUGAGACAUCAAUCACAUGUACUAACAUAGUAUUUCAGACA